rnacentral:lncRNA from 1 species
ACCCCCCAAUCCCCAUCACGCCCAUCAUCAUCACAAGCCUCCACCAUCAUCGCUCCCACCCCCCAAACCUCUGCCCAGCUCUCACCCUGCUGGUCUCGAAAUCCAUCGAUGGAGGCCUCAGCACCGCUGCCCCACCGCUGCGAAUGUGGCUGAUGCGAAUGCUACUGCAAUCCACUGCCCCUAUUCCCACAGCUGCUGCUACAGCCACUGCUUUGUACUGCUACAGCUGCUACUGUAAGCCGUGGAGGCAACGUGCAUGCCGCCGCCGCCGCCGCCACCACUAACGCCAGCGCUGAUCGCCGCCAGAGCCGCCGUCAGCAGCCGCCAGAUGCUAGCUGGAGCUAGAUGCAGCCGCCGCCGUUAGGUCUGCUGUCUCGCCUACGCUACCUCCAGGGCUCGCCACCGGCAGAUAGGGCAGCCGCUGACACGGCCGUCUGCAUGUGCAGCUGCCGCCUGCUUCUGCAGCUGCCGCCGCGCGCCGCCGGCAGCAGCUAGUAUAGGUAGCGCCGCCGGCAGCAGCUAGUAUAGGUAGCGCCGCCGGCAGCAGCUAGUAUAGGUAGCGCCGCCGGCAGCAGCUAGUAUAGGUAGCGCCGCCGGCAGCAGCUAGUAUAGGUAGCGCCGCCAGCAGCAGCUAGGUAGCGCCGCCGGCAGCAGCUAGGCAGCGCCGCUGCCGCUGAUGGCGAGUGCUGCAUCGCAUCAUGCAACGCACGCACGUACAUGCACCCACACUCGGCUGGCCAGGAACACUGCAGAGGAAUGGGGUGGGUGGCGAGUGGAGGUUACUGCGGGGCAGGGUCAGACAGGAAUGCGAGGCUGGGUGCACAUGUGAACGUACACACACACCAAACUACAUGCCACCACCAUCACUUGCGACAAACCACCUGACCCACACAUCCGUGCACUAUCUAGAUACACCGCCCCCGCACACAUACAUUGCAUACACCAGUACAGCAGCUCAUGUGCACACAGCUUGGCAUACCACGCUUGGUUACACCCUCAACCCCCACACCCACCCUGAUUGCAGGCACACAGCCCAGUUCCAUGCAUGCAUUACGUUGGCGGCGAUAGCUCCAGCCACCGCCACCACCGCUGCCGCCAGCACACAUGAUGCGGUUUGCUAGAAAUUAGUGGUUUUUUUGGCGGACUAGGGAAUUGCGUUUAGCUCUGUUUGUUAGUGUUGCCCCAAGCCCUAAACGAAAAUGACCCACGCACUAUGAAUAGUCAGUAUACCAUUAAUGCAUAGCAUGUAUAUAUGGGUUACUAAAAUAGAAAUUUAAAUCCCCGUCUUACACAGAAAGAAAUCCCCCACCCACCCCGCCCUGUGCAUAUGAAUAAUAAGAAUUUCCUGCCGCAAGCUAGUGGGUAGUGGUAGUAGUGGCUGCAGGCUGCUGGCGUUGCACGCUGCUAGCUAGUGGCUGCUAGCUGGCUAGUGGCUAGUAGUGACUGCUGACUUCUGAGGCUGCCGAGACAGCUGGCUGCUGGCUGGCUGCUGAGGCUGCAGGCGCUGCCGGGGACAUAGGCACUGCCGGAUGGCAUGCUGCCUAGUCACCCUUACAUUUACCUAGUGCACACACAGCCCAAAGGUAUUGAGAUUGCCACAAUGAAGAUAGCCACAUAUAUAGAUAGAGCCACAAACAUGAUAGAGAUAGCAACAGAGGGGUAGCCAGAGAGAGAGAGAUAGCCAGAUAGGUAGCCAAGAGAGAGCCAUAGAUGUAAGAUAUAGCCACAGAGAGACCCAUAGAGAGAUGGCUAGAGAGAGAUAUCCACAGAGAGAGCCAGACAUGGAUAUAGCCACCGUAAUAGCCAGAGAGAAAUAGCCAGAGAAGGUAGCCACAGAUAGAGCCAUAAAAUGAGAUUGCCAGAGAGCCAUGGAGAUAGCCACAGAGACAGCCAUAGAACAAGAAUAAGCGAGAUAGCCAGAGAGAGAGCCAGAGAGAAAUAGCCAGAGAAGGUAGCCACAGAUAGAGCCAUAAAAUGAGAUUGCCAGAGAGCCAUGGAGAUAGCCACAGAGACAGCCAUAGAACAAGAAUAAGCGAGAUAGCCAGAGAGAGAGAGCACCAGAGAGCGAGAGAUAGCCAAAGAGAGAGCCAGAGAGAGAGCCAUACAUAGAGAUAGCCACCAAGAUAGACAGAGAUAGAUAGAGCCGAAGAGAGAGCCAUAGAGCCAGAGAGACAUAGCCAGAGAGAUAUCCAGAGAGUGAGCGCAAUAGAGCCAUAGAUAGCCAGAGAUAUAUCCAGAGAAUGGGAGCCAUAGAGCCAGACACACAUAGCCAGAGAGAUAUCCAGAGAGUGAGCCAUAGAGCCAUAGGUAGAUAGCCAGAAAGAGAGAGCCAGAGAGAGAUAGCCAGGUAGAGGGAGAGACAUAGAGCCAGAGAUAGAGAGCCAUACACUGUGAGAGAUAGCCCCAAAUAGCCAGAGCGCAAUAGCCAGGUAGAGAGAGACAGCCAUACAUACAGGGAGAGAGAUAGCCACCAAGAUAGCCAGAGUGUAACAGAGAUAGCCAGAGAGAGCCCCAUACAUAGAGCCAGAGAGAGAGAUAGCCAGAGACAUAUCCAAAGAGUGAGCACCAUAGAACCAGAGAGACAGCCAAAAAGAGAGCCAGAGCGCCAGCCAAGUGAGCACCACAGAACCACCAUAGAGAUAACCAUAUAAAUAUCCACAGAGAUAACCAUCAAAUAGCCAAAGAUAGAUAGCCAGAGAGAGCGAGAGAACCAUACAGCCAGACAUAGUCACAUACGGCCAGACAUAGUCACAGAGAGAGCCAUAAAGUGAGAUAGCGAGAGAGAUAGAGCCAGAGUGAGAGAGAUAGCCAGAGAGAGAUAGGCAGAGACACAGAGCCACAGAGAGAGCCAGAGAGAGCCAGAAGAGAUAGAGAAAGCCACAGAGAGAGCCAUAGAGAUUCCAUACUCAGGGACUUCCAACCAUCAGCCUGCAAAACAAGGCGUGUCAGUAUCGUGAACAGUACCAGUGCAUACUGCCCAACAUACCUUACAGCAUGAUGCUCGUAUAUCAGAGACGUGAGAGCUCCGCUAGCUAGCUGUCAUCUGUCACUGGCACAGGUGUUGCUGGUGCUGACAUAGCUGUUCCACCACACUGCCUAACUAUCGGUUACAUUACAUUAUAUUACAUCACAAAUCGCUCCUGUGAUAGCUGGCACUGAGCUGAGGCUGCCAUUCAGCUGUGGCUGCAUAUACAAUGAACACAUCAACUGAAGCUGCAAAGUAUGACUGUGCUUUGUUCAGAGUACUGCAAUAGAUAGUAGUACGCGCAGCCCGUUAAGUACAGCAGUCAACACAAAGGCACGUUUGACUGACACUUGUGCAUUAUGCACCUGGCUGCUGGGAACUGACCAAUGACUGUGCUGAACUGAGGGCACGCUGAAGGGACGCUGAAGGGACGCUGAAGGGACGCUGAAGGGACGCUGAAGGGACGCUGAAGGGGACGCUGAAGGGACACUGACGGGACGCUGACAUACAUGCAUGCGACUGCUCAUCUGAGGUAAACAAACAGCUACUGACAACGAUACGCUGCUAGCUGAGCUGAGGGAGAUGGACACGCACAUCCGCCAUUCCUGUCGACCGCCUGCCCCAACGUGGGCCUCCGGCCGACCCAGGUCCGCUCCCUGUGGCCCUUCCCGAUAUGCACGUGGAGGCGAGUUAAACGCACACGUGCGAUAUGGGUCGGACCGAGCGGCCCACCCCGGCCCACCGCAACCUUCGUGCGGCGGUCACGCAUGUGCUUUUGCGGGCAACACACGUGUUUCCAACCGGGGACCCGGGGCGGGAUUCGAACCCGCACCUUGCCCCACCACACGCCGCCACCCGCCCAGCACCGGGUAAUCCCAGCACUGAGCGAGCAAGCAGGACAGUGGGCAGCGACACGCUCGACCAUCAAGCUGCCCGGGCAUACAGCACAAUCGUGAGAUACGGUAUGCAUAUUGCAUAAUAGAUACUAAAGUAAGAUUCGAGGCAACAUGCCGCUAAUGCUAACUAGCAGGCAUUACGUAACCCCUGCCUAAUGCAUGCCCCGAAGAGAUUUCCUGCCACCCACCGACUAUAUGGGAUACCCUCGUACCCCAUGCGUACGUGCUGUGGGCAGUCUACGUGGACGCAAGGUUACGCGUUAACCCAAAUUAAUGUUUUACAUGCUAAGGCUUUCACACAUAGCCUUACUUCCCCGGUCUUGUGUAGAUGGCUGCAGGCGGUUGAUUGGUGACAUCGUGUGGAUGGAUGGAGGAGUGCAUGGGGGGGGGCGGUUGGGAGGGGCGGGGAGGCGGUUGUUUAGAGCAGUCUUCGCCUUUGCAGUGGGGUAGGAGCGACUGAGGGCUGGCUGAGAACCUAGGUAGUAUAGCUGUCCGCCAGCUCGAUUGGAAAUACAAAAUUGAACCCCAUCCGUCCCUCGCCAGCCCUGCACGGUCAUGCGCGCAUGUACUUGCUACCAUGCAAACGCAACACACCUGAUAGCUGGAAAAUUAGCAGUGGCGGCGGUGGUGAAGGUCUAGUUAUUGUCGUUGUUGUUAAUGGUGGUGGUCUUGUUGUUGGUGGUCUUGAUGGUCUCGGUGGGGUGGACUGCUGCUGUGCCGGUGCUGUCUGUAAGCGAGGGAGGGUGCGGGAGGGGUGCAAGAAGGGGAAGCGGGUAUGAUUGGGUGGAGGCAGAAGGGGCGGAGGAGGCAACAUGGCAAGGGAUGAACACUACCUCAUUCGCCACCCCCACACCCAUUCUGCAACCCAUGCAAUACACCCCCCGCACCAUUUCACAGUCGGCCGGCUUAUCGUCAAGGCCACGACCCCGCCAACCAGCACCAAACCCUGUUCAAACGAACUCGUAUCCCUACUCAACAUCCCUUCAUUGUUUGGGCUGGUACCUACCUCCCCCCACCUCUUCCCUCACCAUCUAUCGCACCCCAAUGCGCCUGCAGACCGCGUGCACAGCGAGCACCCACAUCCAUCUACCUGGGAUGGCUGCACGCGCGGGCGACGGCAGCAACAGCGGCGGCGGACUCAGGGCACGGGGGGGGGGGGGGCGGCGAUGCCGGUGCGGGUGCAUACCGGGGGCACCGCGGGUUCAUGGGGCCAGCAGAGCACUGCCCUGUGUGGGGUGGCGGAGUGGGGCGGGGUGGGUGGAUGUGUUGAGUUGUCAAGGUGCGUUGGGACAUGGGCUGGCGUGUGAUUGGCGUGUGCCAAUCCAGCGGCAUCCACUUAACAUUAGCUGUUGUACAGCACCCCCGCCCACCCACCCCCCUCUCACCCGGCAAACCCUCCCACCCCAUGCACACCAAUGGUUCGCCCCCAGCCCUACACCCUCGGACGCCCUUCGGACUCACUCACCCCACACCAGUCAACAAGAUCAUCUCUCUCGUCACUCACAUUGUAUGGGGUUUUGGCCUUGCCGGUGAGGGUGCCGGGGGGGGGCGGCCGCAGUAGCAGUAGCCGGCGAUGGAAGGGGAGGUAGCGGCGCGGGCAAUAGCAGUAGCCGUAGAGGGGGGGAGGGUGGCGUCGGCAGCAGCAGGCGAAGGAAGGGGGGAGGCGACGGCGCCGGCACUUGCGCAUACGCAGCAGCUUGGCAGGUGACUGUGAGGAGUACACGGGAGGGGGGAGGGGGGGGGCACGUUUGUGGGCGGGUGGUUUGGUAGCUGGGAUGGUAAAGUGCCCCAGCUGGGGAUCUAGCUAGCCAGCACCGAUGCACACGGCGCGACCAAGAAACCACCACACGACACGAUCGAGAAAUGAAGAUGCGCCCCACACCUUCCUCGCCCGCCCUGUUGCUUGCUGCCCACACAACCCACACACCUGCCUACCUGCUAAGGGAUCCCUGCGCGCAUUGGGCGGGUGAUAUGGCACGUGUAGGCGAGGCGGGCUGGGGACUGGGUCCGGGCUCGGGACGGGGUUGGGUGGGGCCCGGGGUACUGUCCUGGGAUGGUGGUGGUGGUGGUGGUCGGGACUGCUGUGCUGAUGCUGCCUGUACGGUAUGCGGGGGGGGGGGGGGGAGGGGGACUAAGAAUCAAGUAAAAGUUGGGUGGAGAUGGAGGGCAGGAGGGGGCACAUGACAAGGCAACAAGAACGGGGCAGUGCUUCAUGCAACCGCUUUACACCACCCCACACGCCCGUACCCAACGUCCUAACCCCCCAUCUCUCCCACCCCAAUGCGCCUGCAGACAUCGUGCACAGCAACCACCUACAGCCACCCACCUGUCAUCGCAGUGGCAGCUGCACCCGCGCGGGACAGCGGCAGCAGCGGCGGCGGCGGACUCAGGGCAGGGGGGGGGGGGGGCGAUGCCGGUGCGGGUGUAUGUCGGGCGGCGCCGCGGGUGCGUGUGGGCCAGAUGAGCACUGCCCUGUGUGGGGUGGGGGUGGGGAAGGGGGUGGGGGGAAGUUGCCGUCUUGAGUGAGGGCGGUGAGAGCGGCAUGUGCGCAUGGCACGGUAGCGCAACUCACAAGCCAGAGGCAUCACUUAUCAUUAGCUGUUUGUACAGCACCCCCGCCCACCCCCCUCUCACCCGGCAACCCCUCCCACCCCAUGCACACCAAUGGCCCGCCCCCAGCCCUACACCCUCGGACGCCCUUCGGACUCACUCACCCCACACCCAAUCAACAAAUCACCUCCCGCGUCACUCACAUUGUAUGGGGGUUUGGCAUUGCCGGUGAGGGUGCCGGUGGGGGGCGCGGCCGCAGUAGCAGUAGCCGGUAGAGGGAACGUGGCGGCGACCGCAGAUGCAGCUACGCAGCAGCUUGAAUGGUGACUGUGAGGAGUAUUGGGAAGGAGAGGGAAGAGGGGAGAGGGGGGGCACGUUUGUGAGCAGGUGAAAGGUGGCUGGGAGUGGGGAUCUAGCUAGCCAGCACCGAUGCACACGGCGCGACCAAGAAAGCACCACACGUCACGACCGAGAAAUGAAGAUGCGCCCCACACCAUCCUCGCCCGCCCUGUUGCUUGCUGCUCACACACCCCACACAUCUGCCUACCUGCUGAGGGAUCCCUGCGCCGCAGUGUGCAGCAGCGGCGGUGCGUGGUAUCGCACGUGCGUAGGCGAGGAGGGCUUGCGGCGGGGGGUUGGGCCGGGCUUGGGGUGGUGGUGGGGUCCGGGGCAGGAGGAUCCUUGGGUGGUGGUGUUAUGUUGAUGACUGGUGAAUGGUGGUGGUGAUGAUGUUGGUGAUAAUGGAGGUGUGGUGGUGGUGGUGGGGUGGGGUGGGCGGCGGCGGCGGCGGCGGCGGUCGGGACUACUGUGCGGAUGCCACCUGUAUGCGAGGGGAGGGGGGCGGGAGGGGGAGGGUGCAAGAGUGGGUUGGGAGGCGCAGGGGUGGGGGGAAACGUCAAGACACGCGGGAAAGGGCAGUGCUCUCAUGUUACCGCUUAACAUCACCCCGCACGCCCAUUCCACAAACAACCCGUGCAAUACCCCCCACCCCACCCCACCCCACCACCAUCCGCACCACACAGUUGACCGGAUAGUCAUCACUCACUUCCCCCAGACCCAACAACACUCCCCCAGACCCAACAACACUCGAAACUACCCCAGACUCGCACCCCUGCCCAACACCCCUCCGCUCCCCUGCACCCCCCACCUUUCCCACCCCAAUGCGCCUGCAGCGCGCGUGCACAGCAACCACCCAUAGCCACCCACAUGCGAUGGCGGCGACAGCUGCUCCGGCGGGCGACGGCGGCAGUGGCGGCGGCGGCGGCGGCGGGCUCAGGGCACCAGAGGUGGGGGGGGGAGGAGGGCGAUGCCGGUGCGGGUGCAUGGGGCCAGCAGCAGAGCACUGCCCUGUGUGGGGUGGCGGGGUGGGGUGUGGUGUGUGGGGGUGGGGGUGGGGUUGGGGGGAGUCGCCGUCUUGAUUGAGGGGGGUGAGGGAGGCAAGUGUGUUUGGCACGGUAAGACAACGAAAACCAGAGGGAUCCACUAGGCAUUGGCUCUUGUACAGCACCCCAACGCACCCCCACCCUCACACCCGGCAACCCCUCCCACCCCUCCCACCCCCAACCCCACGCACGUCCCCCAGCCCUACACCCUCGGACGCCCUCGGACCCACUCAUCCCACACCAGUAGUCAUCAAGAUCACCUCCCGCGUCACUCACAUUGUAUGGGGGUUUGGCAUUGCCGGUGAGGGUGCCGGUGGGGGGCGCGGCCGCAGUAGCAGCAGACGGCGGAGAGGGAGGUGGCGGCGGCGCCAGUGGCAGUAGCCGGUGGAGGGGACGGUGACGUCGGCAGUAGCAGUAGCCGGCGGCGGGGAGGGUGGCGCCGGCAGUAGCAGUAGCCGGCGGCAGGGAGGGUGGCGCCGGCAGUAGCAGUAGCCGGCGGCGGGGAGGGUGACGUCGGCAGUAUAAGUAAGCAGUAGCCGGCAGAGGGGAGGGUGACGUCGGCAGUAGCAGUAGCCGGCGGCAGGGCGGGUGGCGCCGGCAAUAGCAGUAGCCGGCGGAGGGGAGGGUGACGUCGGCAGUAGCAGUAGCCGGCGUAGGGGAGGGUGACGUCGGCAGUAGCAGUAGCCGGCGGAGGGGAGGAAGGGUGGCGUCGGCUGCAGCAGUAGCCAGUUAAGGGAGGGUGGCGGCUGUAGCCGGGGGGGGGGGGGAAGAUGGGAGGGGGCCCGAGUACAGGGGGGGCACGUUUGUAGACUGGUGGUUUGGUGGCUGGGUGGUUGGGAGCUUCAUUGGAUUGGUGGUGAGUACCGGCGGUACCGUGCAGUCAUGCACGCACGCAUGCAUGGGUUGUGGUGUCUACAGCACAUCAGCCGGCACCGCAACCUCCCACACGACGCCGGGCCCACCCGCGCUCGCCCGCACAUCCGCCCCUGCCCCACCCCUUUCUUCACCAUGUCCAACACCCACCACACCUGCCACAUACCUGCAUUAACGGCGGCAGGAGCACCAGUGGGUGAUGACCAGUGGCGGCAACGCCCCAGGCAGGGGGAGGAGUAGGGGUGGCGAGCCCAUGGAUUUUUGCUGGCUGGCGACCAGAGCGGUGGUGGCGCACGGUGAAGGCCCCUGAGUGGGAUGGGGGUGGUCGGCGAGGGUGGGGGCGGGGUUGGGUGCGAAGGGGAGGGGGGGCGGGGGCAGGGGAAGGGGGCUAGGAGGGGGUGCGCGCUGGGCUUGGUGCAACGUCGGCUUGCAGCGCGGCGGCCGCGGCGCCGCCGGUGCCGGCACCGACACCAGCACCGACACCAGCACCGGCGGCGCCGGCGGCCGCCCAACACUGCCGACAUUGCAGCGCCGACACCCAAUGUGAUGCGAUGUAAUACGCAACUGUCGGGCCGCGCCAAAGGUAGCGAAGCAGCAGCUAGCGCGGGGCGGGGCGGGCUGGCGCCGAAACGAACGCGUCUCGGAACAAGCCUGUCUCACCUGGGCGCGAGGCCUCAACGGUCGCUCGCAGCUGCAGUCUCCCUCAGCCAGAGAGCUGCCGAGCGAAAACCGCACGGCGGCGGCGGUGCCGGCGGCGACGGCGUAGCGGGCUGUGCGCGGCGAGGCUGGCCGAAACGGGUUGGGUACCGCAAAUAACGAGGCUCGAAAGAUGGUAUUUGUAUGGCAAAUUUGACUGCGGGUUUAGAUGUCGCGAGAAGUAAUUAGAGGGGUCUCGGCGCGGCGCCAAUCCCGGGCCCGAUGAGCUGCCCGCGGACAAGUGAAUUACGUGAUCGCAACCCCCAUCGCCCAAACGAUGAGGCUUGUGAUCGCGUGUUUCCAUAGCGUUUGGUGCGUUGGGAGCUGGCGCAGGCACCAAAAGUGCACCGGUGGUUCGGUGACCCACGGGCCGCCGUUCCCUUGGCGGGAAACCGACCAGGGGCCACGGACCUGACAGGGUCCCCCCGAUUGGGGGUCUUGCGAGACCCCGGCAGACAAGGGGUGUCAGCCUUGUACAGCUGGAAGAUGGGCUGAGCCCCGCAGCAUCAGGGAGGACGGACGAAUCGGUAGACGGACGAUGACCCCACGUCUGCCCCCCUGAGGCUUUGGCGUGCACACACGCCACACGCCAUCCACGCGUGCCGUCCCUUGCCACACAUUCCCAAGCCACCCCUUGCACCUCUAGCACAGUUAACAUCUCCCUGAUGCCCGGCACUUCUACGGGACUGUGUCGCGCCAUUCUGCCUGCACUGCAUUUUCACCGGCACGAGCGUGUGUAGCCUAGGGUUUCAUGUCGCGUGUGUGGCCGCGUGUGGACUUGAGCAGCUAAGACUGCUGUGUAUCGCCUGCUUGGUGUAGGAUUAACCUUGCUUGCUAUCAGCCUGAGAGAAAGGUGCGAGUGAGAAGUUGCCGUACAGUUGGUCGGCGCACGUAGCGGGCAGUGACGCCUGUGAGCGGCACUGUCCGCUGUUACUGGGUUGCGCAUGCACUCUGGCCACCUGUGUUAAACCAGGCUAGGCAUAGACAUAACCUAGCUGGCCAGGCGAGGACGCUGCUUCACUGCUGGAGGAAUACGCGAGUUGCGGGUUGCUGGGACAAUGGACCGCCGUCGCAGUCCCCGAGUUGUGAGAUACCCCGGCGGUUCUCACUGGGCAUGCCCCCGAUUGCUAGCUGGUCCAAACGCUAGUCUUGCCUGCCGCUGAACACGCCUUGGCGUUCUCGCUCCCGCAGGUGAUCAGUCUGCUCUCAGCGAGUCACAAGAACUACACAUUAGUCGUCUCGCAGCUACCCAUUGCUGCGGGCGGGCAGUGGCUGGUCAUCGGCGGCUGGGGGUGGAGCGACCACUGGGGGGAGGCCGAUGUGCUUGGGCUGCUUGGCGCCCUACAGCGCCACUGCAUCCAACGGCGCUGGCCGGCGCCCGCCUACGUGCUGCUGGCGCCCCCCACCACUGCCGAGCAUCAGCAGGGCUUGGGCUUCCCAUUCGGCAUUCCGGUGCCGUUUGACUUGGUACAGACCGGCGUCGGCGUGCAUCACGCAUGCAGCCUCUACACCAACCUGGCCACCGCAGAGCACCUCACCGCCGUGUUCCGCGAGAUGCGGCCCCUGCCCCAGCGACGCCUACCCCAGCUCGUGGCGCCCGGCGUGCGGCUGCCUGUUGCCGCUCAAGCCGAGCCGCUGCCGCACGUUCCGGUCCAUGCACCGGGUCAGCGGCUUGCAGCCCUCCCCGCCGGCGCCACCUGCAUCCCCGCGGACGCCAAUGCGCCGGCUCAACCGCUAUCGCCGCGUGACUGGGAAGUGCUCCUGGGGCACGUGCCGGGAGCAUCCUCCGGCCUACCGCCCAGCGCAGCGCUCGCCGCGCUGCGCUCAGCCCCGCCGCCGCUGGCCCUCAGCGCCGUCCUAGCAGCCGCCGUCGUCUUGCAGCGCCACUACCUCACGUCUCACGACACACACACGCCGCCGCCUCAAGUGCUGGCACCUGCAGACGCAGGACCGGUACUGCCGCUGGGGGGGAGUGACGACGCAGAGGAUGGCGCGAAUGCUGAUACAGCGGCAGCCCGGCAGCGACCUGCUGGUAUUUGCCACCAUGGUGGCGGCGCAGACUGACGCGACGGAGGCCGCGCUAGCGGCCGCGAACGGGCAGCAGCCUGACGUGUGGCUAGACGCAGAGGUGAUGGAGCUGAUUCAAGGGCUGGCGGGGCAAGCCGCAGCCUCCCGCCGCGCGGUGCGGCGGGCCAGCUCCUACAGGUGGGACGGGCAGCAGCUGCUGCGGUGCCUGCCGGACGGGCGCGCCAGAGUCUGCCCACCGCCUGCAGAGCGAUUGGGAAUAGCGGAGCGCCUGCAUCUCUCGCUUGGCCACCUCGGUGUCCGGCGCACGCGGGCCCUGCUGCAGCUGGGAUACUGGUGGUUUGAUAUGGGAGCCACAGCAGCUCACGUGGUGCGCAACUGCCGGGCAUGCGACCUCAGCCGUGUGACUGGAGACGCGAGGCCAGCGAGCGGAGCUGCAGCCGCUGCCGGUCAGGGGCCUCUUCUACCGCUGGGGCGUGGACUUGGCCGGGGAGCUCACGCCCACCGAGCCAGACGGCUACCGCAACUGCGUCACCGCCAUCGAGCACUUCAGUAAGCAUAUCGAGGUGGUGCCAAUCGUGGACAUCAUGGCGCGCUUUGGGGCGCCAGCAGAGGUGGUGGUGACAGACAACGGAUCGGAGUUUGAGGGCGAGUUUGCAGCGCUGCUAGAGCUAGAAAUAGAAAUAGAUACACCCUGCCGUAGGCAAGUGGUGUGGAUUAAGGGAGUGGGGGGAGAUGAGGAGGUGGGUCAGACCCACCUCCUGUACGCCCCCACUACCGAGCAUUUGGCGGCGGGCGGGCGUGCAGGCUAGGCCUGCGCCCCGCCGGGAUGCUACAUCCCUUCUGGGUUGCCGGUUGGCAGUCCCCGUUCGAGGCGCCGUCUGGUCAGGACUAUGUGGUUGAGGGUGGCGACUGCGUGGUCGUGUAGGGUGUCGCAGCACUGCCUCGCUUUGUGGGAGUUGACGCCCAGGGAGGUGAGGAGGGGGUGGAGAUCUUUGUGGAUUGUACCUGCAAACCCGAGGCUGAUGGCACUCUGUGGGGUGUAUUGCACUUUCCAUCCCGCUUCCCGCAGGUCGGCUGCAAGGGCCUGGUGCUGUUGUGCUUUUUCGUGUUGCUUGGCGGCGUGGUUCGUGUCGGCGGUGUAUCCUGCUUCGAUGAUGCAUGUGGAUGGUGUCGUGUUCGCUGGGCAGCACGACAAAGUCUGGGUUUAGGGCUGCGGCGAGGGAGAUGGAAGGAAUUAGUAGGAUGUCGGGGCGGUAGUGUAAGUGGCGUCCUGCUGGUUUGCCCUCCUGGUCGGGGAGCAGCCAUGGCGGCAAGCGGUUGUCAGCCGCGUAGUCUGGCAGAUCGGCUUUAGACGUGGCGUCCAUUACCAUGUAGCAGCCGCCGCAGUCACCGCGGGAGAUGGCUCGUGCGAUGGCCUGGACUGCAAUGUUGUGUCGUUUAAUGUACAUUGCACGGAGUUGGGGGUUGUGGCAGCCUCCCAGUAUGUGGCCGCCGGAGUCGGGUCCGCGGCAGAGUGGGCAUGGGGCGGGGGUAUCGGGGCCAGCGCGGGGGGCUCGGCGGCCUGUAACUGUGCGGCCGAAGCGGGCUGCGAGUUUGUUGUUCCACAGUUGCCCGUAUAAGUAGUCCAUGCAGCGUUUGGCCUUGCGGUGCCGGCCUGAUUGCAGGUUCAGGGUUCGGGUGCUGGAUUUGAUAUCCAGGUCUGGGAUGGCGUUGGCUACGAAACCAGUGUAGAGGGUUUCGCGGGUGUGGCCUUGGGUGAUGUGCGGGGCUGCGAGCGUGGCGAUGCCGCGGUUGAGGUCAUGCGCGUAGUGUCCUUCGUUCUUCUCUCGUGGCACCCCUUCCACAGUCGGUUUGAUAGUUUUACGUAUCCAGUAGUAUUUACUACGCGGGUCGUUAUCGGACUCCUCGACCAGCCAGUCGGCCCCGGGCAUCUCUUCUCCCUUGGCGGUUUUCACCGCCGCCUGAUCUGCGAGUUCAUUGUACGUAAUACCUGAAUGUGCUUUGACCUUGAGGAGGUUUGUCCGGCGGCCGGCGUGGGAGCGGCGUUUCAGGAGCGCGAGGAUGUUAUCCAGCAGCGCUUUGUGUUUGCUGAAGGUAAGGAGUUGGGGCUGGUUGAUUGUUUUGCGGAUGAGGAAUAGCGACGCAGCGGAGUCGGUGUAAACUGUGACUUCGGGGAGCGCUUGCACUUCGUCGAGCUUGAGCACUUGGUGUAUGGCCGAGAGCUCGCAUCGUGUUAUGGUGUUGCAGCCGUGAUGUCCAGGGUUGACGUCAAUCUGAUACGUUUGGGACGUGCGGGCAUCGAUCGCUGCGGCCCCCCACGCGCUGGGCUGACCAAGGGCGUCUUUCUGUACUGAGCCAUCGGUGUAGAAGCCUUCGCAGGGAUUGAGGCGUAGGGGUUGGGUGGCCGCGAACGGGGCCAGGGUGGCUGGCGUGGCCGGUACGGGAGGGGGUGUUACUUGGGGGGCUGCCGGGCGGGUGCGGGUCAUCCGGCGGACCUGUUUGGUCACCCACCGUGUGUGGGCCCAGGUGAGUUGGGGCUGCGGUUCGACGGGCAUGCCUGAGAGGUAUAGAGACGUGCCUAGGGCGUCGCGUAUGGACUGGGCAAGUCGGGCUCCGGGUGUAUUGCUGACCAGCACCAGGUCAUGUUUUAAGGUGAUGCCUGCGUCGUUGUGGAUCUGGCCGAGAAGGGCGUGUGUUGCUGUGGCGGAAAUGCUGCCAAGGAGUGUGACUCUGGGGUGGGCGAGGUAUCUUGUGUAUGGCGCGUUGCGUUGGGUGGGGAGGAUGAUCAGCGUGGCAGUGGUUGGCGGGUUGCGGGUGCUUGUAAGGGUUUCGGUGUGUUCGGCCCAUGCCAGUGCCCAUCGGACCGCGUGAGCUCCGUCUUCGGUGUUGGGUUCGGGGUAGGCGACAGCAAUUCCAUCCCAUGGCUGGGAGUACGCGUCAUAGUUGGCCCCAAAGAGCAUGUCUUCUUCGUACAGUGUGUAGUAGGUGGUGGCGGCUUCCGAGACGUUAAGGGGUGAUGCAAAGAGCUCUGUUGUGCUGCCUAUUGCCGUGUGCAGGGUUUGUGUCAAUCCGUCGCACAGAAUGCGUUCUCCUUUUUCAGUGACAGGGUGGGAUUUGGAGCCGCCCCCGGGUUUGUAUCGGAGGAGCAGGCGGGCGAUGGCCGCCGCAAAGCCUCUGCCCUGGUCAUAUUUGGCGUGCGCUUCGGGCCAGGUUGUUUGUGCAUGCUGGUAGCGUUGCCAGAGGAGGUUGAGCCGCUCUGCGCUGAUGGUGCCCAUGCACCGUCCGCGGGGGUCGUACACAUGCGCCAGGUGAGUGCUGUGUGCCGUGGAGCCAGGGUCGGGGAGGAUACCGAGCUGGAUGGUGUAUGUUUGUGUGGGGCGGAUGUCUCGGCGGGGGUUGCAUGGCUCGACGUUGAUGUCGACGUAUUGGCGCAGAGUGCGUUGCCCUCGUGCAGUGUCGUUGCUGGCAUCUGUCCAGCGGCCCUGUCGCUGGUCAGGGUUUAGGUGCGUGUCGCUAGCGGGGGCCGGGGGGCGGGGGGCCAGGGGGACAGCAAGGCGGGCGUGCAGGGCGUCCAGGAGUUCUUGUUUGUUGUCUUGUGCCUCCAGGGUAGCGGCGGGUUCUUCCAGGUCUUCCCAUUCCACCAGGACGCGAGGUUCGUUGCCUGGGGUAAGGAGCCAGGUAAGGCCGCCGGGUUUGGGGCGGUAGCGGUUGCGGGCGUAGAGGGUGAGGGAGCCGGGGGUGAUGACGGUGGGUUCCCACUGGACUCGGUAGUACGGCGAACCUUUGCUGGUGGUGCGGGCUAUUACGUGCUGCACCCGCUCCUGGUGUCCAUACAGGGUGUUGGUGGUGGUGAGGGCUUUGGUGCGGUAGGUUUCACUGAAGUGCUUCCAGGUGUCGGACGUGGCGGCCAGGUAAGCGUCUUGUUCCUCCUGGCUGAGCUUGUGUCGGUGUGUGAACGUGGUUGGGGGCGUGGGGCCCAGAAGUAGGCGUCUGAGGUGCGCUUCGGGGUUGGGGGGCUUGGAUCGGCCGAUGAGGCUGGGGGCGAUAUCGAGCAGGUCUGCGCAGUGUGCGUCUGUAAGUGGGUCAAGCGCUGGAUCCCAGUCGAACGCUUUUGGUGCGUCGGCUGGCGGGGCUCCCCGUCCUUCGGGCUCCUUGACCAUCUUGAUGCAGGCCCGCUUACGUUGCUGUGUGCCCGGCCGGCGUGUUUGUGCAGGUGUCUGGUUUUCGCCAUCGUGGUGGGCCGUGGCGGCGGUGGCGGCGGUGGCGGUGGUGGCAGCUGUGGUGGCGGCCGCGGCAGUUUCUCCGGUAUUGGCGGUCGGUUCGGCGGCGGGGGCGCGCUGGCGGAGGAAGCGGUUAAGUGUGCCCCAGUCGACGGCGGCAGGUGCGGUGUGGGUCGUGUGGAGACCGGUGAAGGUGUGCCCGUCCGGGAGAGUGCGUUGGACAGCGGUAAGGGGAGCGGUGCUGUUGUGGGUUUUGGCUCGGGCUCGGGUUUCAGCGUGGAGUGCGAGAGUAAGGCGGUUGAGGGCUAUCCUGUGCCGCCUGUGGGCCCGCGGCCACUUGUUCUUUAAAGUGUUGGCGUCUAUUACGCAGGUGCGGUCCGGGGUGAGGAGCUCACGGAAGUCGCUGGUGAGUUCAAGGAGGGGUUGAAUCAAUCGGAAGGGUAGGGCCUGUUCCGCGUCGGCGCCUGGCGGCGCGGUGCGUGUAAGGAGGGCCGACAGACCGUGGAGCGUGGUGUGGUAUGUGCUGCCCUGUUGGGUCAGCUCCAGCCCCGCAUCUUUGAUCAGCGAGAGUUGCCGUAGGUUGGUGUAGAAGCGGCACUGCGUGUGGAGUUGAUCUGCGGGCACCCUCUGUGCCACGCUGUAUUGCAGGUGGAGCAUGGCGCGGGUGACGGCGCCCAGCCUGCCCCCAUCGUUUAAGGCCUGGACGAGGGCCUUGCCUGCGCGGCGGACAUAUAGCUCGCGGAUGCUACCUAUCCCCAGGCCAAGGGUGUUGGUGGGCUGGAGGAUAGCGCGGGUGGGGAAGCCGCGUUUCAGGCCGUAGCACAUUUUUGCAGUGCUUGCAAUGAGCGCAUCGAGGCUGGCCACGUCGUGUGUGCUGUACGGCAUGAAUGGUAGGCUGUAGGCCACUGCUGGGUGGAUGGUGUAUUGUAUCAUCCGGAGUUUCUGGUCUGGUGUGGCGAGUGAUGUGGCGAUGCGUUGCCCUCGCUUCUUGAUUUUUUCCCGGAUGUAACUUGUGCACUCCAGUCUAGGGUAGGGGUGAUGUGGAUGCCAAGGUAUUUGUAGGAUUCAUGUGGGGGCUUGUACGGGAUAGCGGUGCCAUCUAUGCGGAUUUGGCCUUCAAGCAUUCUGGUGAGCGCUGCCUGGUGGGGCUUGCUGCGGGGGCCACCGAGGGUGGGAUCGGCGCGGGCGCGGCCGUGGAGUAUGCCUUGCAGUUGGCAUUUGGAGACGUUGACUUUGCUUGAGGCCGCCCCAUGCUGCAUAUUUCUCAAUUUUUUCAACUUGGAUUCGUAGAUUUGAGAUUUGGGUUGUGGCUGUGACUAAGUCAUCGGCGAAGGCGCCUGAGCUGAGGUUGUGUUUAUCAUUUUCGGCUUUGGUGAGACAUCCGUAUUGGUAUCCGCGCCCGCCAACAUGGAGCCACCGGAGCAACGGUUCGAUAAAGAUGAUGAACAGUAGCGGUGACAGGACAUCGCCCUGUACCGUGCCGCGUUGGAUAGGGAUGGGGGGUGUGGUGCCGUGUUCAGUGCGCACGCUGGUGGCGGCCUUGCCGUAUAGGUCCCGUACCACCUCAAUCAGAUCGGUGGGGUAGCCUAGGUCGUGCAUGACAAUGAGCAGUUUGUCGUGGUCUAUCGUGUUGAAUGCGGAGGUGAAGUCAAUGUACAGUAGGAAGAGGUCGCGUCCGGUGGUGGCGGCGUCUUCUAUGGCGUGGAGCAGGUUUUGGACUUGCCGUUCGGUAUUGCGGCCUCUGAGAAAGCCUUCUUGUGACUCCGUGAAGAUGUGGGCUUGUUCGCUAAACAGGGCGGCAUUCACAGUGAUGAGGGAGGUAUACAGCUUGUAGAGGGUGUUCGCCAGCGCGAUGGGCCGCUUAUUCUGUAUCAGCAGGGGGUCUCCUUUUUUGGGUAAGAGGACGGUUUCGGACUGUGUCCAGUGUGUAGGGAUGUGCGCUUUCACCCACAUGAGAGUCAUGAGUUGGUGUAUGGCUACGUUUGUAGGCUGGUGGGUAUUGUCUGGAGUAGCUCGUUUGGUAUUCCGUCGGGUCCCGGGGCCUUGCGGCGGGACAGGUGGUUGACGCAGCCAAAGAACGUGGUGCUGUCAGCAAUGCCUGGCAGUAGGGUGGCGGGUGUGUCGGUUGGCUUGGAUAGGGCCGGCAUGCGGUCGGGUGCGUCGGGCCGGCUCCAGGGGUUGCUAGAGCUACUAGAGCGCUGCUACGUGGAUCACCGACACGCCUCACCCGGGCACCCACAAGCAGAUGGCGCUGCAGAGCGCAUCGUGCGAGUGGUGAAGGACGCGCUACGCAAGGCGUGCUACGAGUCCGCCGACCCAGCACGCUGGGACCGGGCGCUGCCGCAUCUACUGCUCGGCUACCGGUGCUCGCCGCAGGCGGCCACGCAGUACUCGCCGUUCAGGCUGCUGCAUGGAGGAGUGGAGCCCCAGGUGCCAGCAGCUGUCAGGGAGGGGUUCGCGGAGCCCCUGAGCUUUGAGGACGCAGCGGCAACGACGGAGAGCCUGCAGGCAAGGGCGGCCUGGGUGCAGCGUCACUACCCGGAGGCCGCCGGCAAUCUGCUGGUGGCUCAGCAUCGCGACACGCACGUGGCGCUAUGCGGCCGCACGCGCGGCGGCGCGCCGCCUGACAAACACGCCAGAAUUCAGCGCUGGCGAAUAUGUUUACAUCAAGAAGCUGAAGGUGGACAACACCCUGCAAUUCCAGUAUUACGACACAAUACUCAGGGUGAAGAGCUAGCGUGGGGCCGCUGGGUGUAGCGGUGCUCAUAGGACGGGACGGGACACAGCAGCUGCGUCGGAGCAGGGGGGGGGUAGAAUCUUCCGAAACAGACCCCAUGCCUCAAAUGGAUAGAGCUCAACGAGAAAAUCACGAAUCCGCUUUCAAAUUUGAAAAUGGGUUUCUGGGUGCAAAGUUAUGACCCCUCAAAGUGGCCGGUCGGUCGGUCGGUCGGGGGUCCCAAGAGGUUUUGCACAGGUUCGUGCCAAGUUUUGUUCCUAGCGCUUCUGUCCUGCAGCGCGCGGCGCAAUGGGUGCAGCUCGACGAGGCGUGCGUAGGUAUACCCCAGACUAUUCUUGCCGCGUGAAACUAAAAAUGUAGCCAUACAUAUCUAGAGCUCGCCACAAGCGAUAUGGACGCGAACCAAGCUGGCAUGGUUGACGACCGGCGAAAGAGGAGGCGGAAGCGUGCAGCUGUUGCUGUACUGUUGUUGCUAACCCUCUGCAUGCCGUUUGCAGUUUGCCACUGGCCGCGAGCCCUGAGCGCGUUGGAAGUUGACCAGUUUGACCAUUCUCGGGCAGGCGCUCCCUGCUGCCAACUCUGUUGGCAACGAGGUCCAACUUGGCAAACUCUGGCAACCCACGCAGAAAAGCUCGGCUCGCUGUGCCUGGCACAAUCGACCCGCUGCCCUUGGCGAAACAAAAUGAGAUAGGGGAACCGACCCCUCGCCACAAUGGCACUCUGACCAACUCCAUUACCGUGGAACCACCACGCAAAUGGACCCAGCCAGCAAUAACGACCGAGCUCAGGACAUGCCUGAGCUCAGAGCCGCCCUGUCAAUGCGCACCAACGAGCAAAACCAGCAACAACCUCCAUUUUGAGCUCGCUGCCCAGAGCACUUUGGGAAACAGUAGAGCAGAGCAGGGACGCGUCGAGAUUCAGCAUCCCGGCUUGCUCUGCACGAAAUCAGGUCCACUCGAUGAGCGCUAUAAGAAUAACACUCUCAACUCCUUCCCUGCCAUCACGCUGGGCAAUCUUAGCGAAGUAAGCUGGGACAUCGCGGCAGAGCAAGCCGAGAGUAAACAGCCAAGCAUGAACAGCAGCACAGCAAUUAGUUUGGCGUGUGUUCUAUUGUGGACUCUCAGCUACAUGCUCGCCCGCGGGUGCGCCCGCCAACCACCACCAACACCGAUGCUCGCCACACCGAACAGACACGCCGGCAGCAAGAGCACACGCCUCAAAUCAGCCGCCCCUGUUGUCAGAGCAAUGCAUCUACACGACAGACAGCACGACAACCGCUCCUGUCUCAUUCACGCAAUUAACAACCUGCUUGGAAAACGCCUCCUCACGCCCGCCAUUAUACAUGCCGAAUGGGAACGGGUGUGUCAGCUCCUCCACCGUGAAUCCCCGGCCUCCGUGCCUACAUGGGCGACGUACCUAACGGCCAACAGUAUAGAUUAUGGCCUUCUCAAUCACUGCCUCAAAGUCACCACCUGCUCCCCCCUGCCAGCCGUCCCCCACGUACAGCUCACGGCAUGCUCCUUCCCUGGCGGCCUACCCCAACAUGACGCACUCAAUGCCAUCCCCUCUGAAUCCCGCCACAUUGGCUUUAUCCUUAUCCAAGGUGGCCACGCCCGAACCGUGAAACAGGCAAACAGCCGCUGGUGGUUGCAUGACUCCAACGCACCACGCGCCAUUCCCCUCACGAAUGCCGACACGGUGCAACCUGGAUACUACCGAUGGACGGACCUAGGGCGCGGCCUUGCCCUAACCCUCACCUACCAACGGCACCCCGAAAUCUCCACCGAUUUCAACAUCCGGGACAUCCCAACAAUCAAGCCCCCAACCACCCGCAUCACCCUCCCACACGAGGGCAUCCGCCUCACCCCUGUUCGCACCGCCACCAGCACCCGCCCGCACCCGACAACCAACCCCUUGCCCGCAGCCCUCCCACAUAACCCCUCCACUACCCCC